rnacentral:lncRNA from 1 species
GAAUUUCCAUAAUUCGAGCCAAGUGUUCCCUAAUUCUUUUCCUUUUAAUUUAUUAUAGUUCUUUGAAUCAUCAUAUUUAUACCUUAAUUUCUUUCUUAAUGAAUAUUCUAAAUUUAUUUGAUAUUGAUUCAACUCUGUCUAAGUUUCUCUUUACUAUCUUCGUCAUUUUCACUACGAUAAUACCCUUAUCUAAGGUUUAUAACUUACAAUUCUGAUAUCAACUGCAACGCCCCCAAAAUCAGGACAAUUUCCACUCCCGACUUUGUGUAGGUAAUAUGAUUUCAUUGGAUUUGGUCCUAAGCGAAGAACACCGACAAGGCGCCGACGACAACCAGAUAAAACCAAGACGAAAAACGUACAGGAAAAUCCCAUCUGUGCCGACAGACCAUCAGAACUCAGAGACCGGCAACCAAGACCCCACCCCAUCAAAGCACAUCCAAAUCAGAAACUCCCGAAGGCAUGAGUCCCAAACAUCCCCUCUGCAGAUCAUUGCUCCUAAUUAAGUCCAUACCCACUAAGAAAUUACCCCUACUAAGCUGAACAAAAUAAGCACCCACGAUCAAUAGCCCCGAAGUUUGCAAACAAGAUCGAC